rnacentral:rRNA from 1 species
AGCGAACGCUGGCGGCAGGCUUAACACAUGCAAGUCGAGCGCCCGGGCAACCGGGAGCGGCAGACGGGAGAGUAACACGUGGGAACGUGCCCUUCAGUUCGGAACAACCCAGGGAAACUUGGGCUAAUACCGGAUAAGCCCUUACGGGGAAAGAUUUAUCGCUGAAGGAUCGGCCCGCGUCUGAUUAGCUAGUUGGUGGGGUAAUGGCCCACCAAGGCGACGAUCAGUAGCUGGUCUGAGAGGAUGAUCAGCCUCACUGGGACUGAGACACGGCCAGACUCCUACGGGAGGCAGCAGUGGGGAAUAUUGGACAAUGGGCGCAAGCCUGAUCCAGCCAUGCCGCGUGGGUGAUGAAGGCCCUAGGGUUGUAAAGCCCUUUCGGCGGGGAAGAUAAUGACGGUACCCGCAGAAGAAGCCCC